CCUACGGGUGGCAGCAGUGAGGAAUAUUGGUCAAUGGACGAGAGUCUGAACCAGCCAAGUAGCGUGAAGGAUGACUGCCCUAUGGGUUGUAAACUUCUUUUAUAUGGGAAUAAAACGUUCCACGUGUGGGAUUUUGUAUGUACCAUAUGAAUAAGGAUCGGCUAACUCCGUGCCAGCAGCCGCGGUAAUACGGAGGAUCCGAGCGUUAUCCGGAUUUAUUGGGUUUAAAGGGAGCGUAGGGGGAUUGUUAAGUCAGUUGGGAAAGUUUGCGGCUCAACCGUAAAAUUGCAGUUGAAACUGGCAGUCUUGAGUACAGUAGAGGUGGGCGGAAUUCGUGGUGUAGCGGUGAAAUGCUUAGAGGGGGGGGAGGGGGGGCAUUGCGAAGGCAGUUCACUGGACUGCAACUGACACUGAGGCUCGAAAGUGUGGGUAUCAAACAGGAUUAGAUACCCGAGUAGUC
rnacentral:rRNA from 1 species